rnacentral:rRNA from 1 species
GAUGAACGCUGGCGGCGUGCCUAAUACAUGCAAGUCGAGCGAACAGACGAGGAGCUUGCUCCUCUGACGUUAGCGGCGGACGGGUGAGUAACACGUGGAUAACCUACCUAUAAGACUGGGAUAACUUCGGGAAACCGGGCUAAUACCGGAUAAUAUUUUUAACCGCAUGGUUUAAUAGUGAAAGACGGUUUUGCUGUCACUUAUAGAUGGAUCCGCGCCGCAUUAGCUAGUUGGUAAGGUAACGGCUUACCAAGGCAACGAUGCGUAGCCGACCUGAGAGGGUGAUCGGCCACACUGGAACUGAGACACGGUCCAGACUCCUACGGGAGGCAGCAGUAGGGAAUCUUCCGCAAUGGGCGAAAGCUUGACGGAGCAACGCCGCGUGAGUGAUGAAGGUCUUCGGAUCGUAAAACUCUGUUAUUAGGGAAGAACAAAUGUGUAAGUAACUAUGCACGUCUUGACGGUACCUAAUCAGAAAGCCACGGCUAACUACGUG